rnacentral:rRNA from 1 species
AUGAACGCUAGCGGCAGGCUUAAUACAUGCAAGGUUGAGGGGCAGCAUGAUAUACGCGAGUAUAUUGAUGGCGACCGGCGGACGGGUGAGUAAUAGGUAGGAGACCUACCUCAUACAGGGGGAUAGCAUAGAGAAAUCUGUGGUAAUACCCCAUGAGGUUAUAUGAAUAGAGGCAUAUAAUCAAAGCAUAAGCGAUUAUGCGGUAUGAGAGGGGCCUACUGACCAUUAGCUAGUUGGUGAGGUAAGGGCUCACCAAGGCGAAGAUGGUUAGGGGUUUUGAGAGAGAGACCCCCCACAUUGGAACUGAGAGACGGUCCAGACUCCUACGGGAGGCAGCAGUAGGGAAUAUUGGGCAAUGGGCGAAAGCCUGACCCAGCCAUGCCGCGUGAAGGAAGACGGCCUUAUGGGUUGUAAACUUCUUUACUACGCGAAUAGAGGUUAGUACGAGAUACUAAUAGGAAGGUAGUGUAAGUAAAAAGCACCGGCUAACUCCGUG